rnacentral:rRNA from 1 species
UACGGAAGGCAGCAGUGGGGAAUAUUGCACAAUGGGCGCAAGCCUGAUGCAGCCAUGCCGCGUGUAUGAAGAAGGCCUUCGGGUUGUAAAGUACUUUCAGUCGUGAGGAAGGUGUUAAGGUUAAUAACCUUAGCAAUUGACGUUAGCGACAGAAGAAGCACCGGCUAACUCCGUGCCAGCAGCCGCGGUAAUACGGAGGGUGCGAGCGUUAAUCGGAAUUACUGGGCGUAAAGGGCACGCAGGCGGUUAAUUAAGUUGGAUGUGAAAUCCCCGGGCUUAACCUGGGAAUGGCAUUCAAGACUGGUUAGCUAGAGUCUUGUAGAGGGGGUAGAAUUCCAUGUGUAGCGGUGAAAUGCGUAGAGAUGUGGAGGAAUACCGGUGGCGAAAGGCGGGCCCCUGGGACAAAGACUGACGCUCAUGUGCGAAAGCGUGGGGAGCAAACAGGGAUUAGAUACC